GAUGAACGCUGGCGGCGUGCCUAAUACAUGCAAGUCGAGCGAACGGACGAGAAGCUUGCUUCUCUGAUGUUAGCGGCGGACGGGUGAGUAACACGUGGAUAACCUACCUAUAAGACCGGGAUAACUUCGGGAAACCGUAGCUAAUACCGGAUAAUAUUUUGAACCGCAUGGUUCAAAAGUGAAAGACGGUCUUGCUGUCACUUAUAGAUGGAUCCGCGCUGCAUUAGCUAGUUGGUAAGGUAACGGCUUACCAAGGAAACGAUGCAUAGCCGACCUGAGAGGGUGAUCGGCCACACUGGAACUGAGACACGGUCCAGACUCCUACGGGAGGCAGCAGUAGGGAAUCUUCCGCAAUGGGCGAAAGCCUGACGGAGCAACGCCGCGUGAGUGAUGAAGGUCUUCGGAUCGUAAAACUCUGUUAUUAGGGAAGAACAUAUGUGUAAGUAACUGUGCACAUCUUGACGGUACCUAAUCAGAAAGCCACGGCUAACUACGUG
rnacentral:rRNA from 1 species